ACCGCUGAGCCAUCUCUCCAGCCCUUCAAAUGGUUUAUUAAGAAAAACCCUGGGGGCUGGAGAGAUGGCUCAGCGGU
rfam:Neotoma lepida isolate 417 scaffold_255, whole genome shotgun sequence.